UACGGAGGGUGCAAGCGUUAUCCGGAUUCACUGGGUUUAAAGGGUGCGUAGGCGGAUAGGUAAGUCUGGGUGAAAUCCUGCAGCUUAACUGCAGAACUGCCAUGGAUACUAUCUAUCUUGAAUGUCGUGGAGGUUAGCGGAAUAUGUCAUGUAGCGGUGAAAUGCUUAGAUAUGACAUAGAACACCCAUUGCGAAGGCAGCUAACUACGCGAUAAUUGACGCUGAUGCACGAAAAGCGUGGGGGAUCAAAACAGG
rnacentral:rRNA from 1 species